AAGGCCCGCCGGUGGAAGACGACGGCAAGAACCAGAGCGGCGGCGCCGCUGGGUCGUCCCAGUCGGUCUUGAUCCGAGGCGUGCGCGCCGUCGGGGAGCUGAGAGGCGGCGUGACGGGGGCGCUGAUCGAUCCGCCGCGCAUGUAGAGGUGCUGGAGUUGGGGCGGAGGCGCUUUGGAGGCGGAAGAAGAAGCCGACGCGAGGCCGGUGAGGAAUGGCACCAGGGAGUUGACUUCGGAGGAGUUGACCGCCCCGUUGUGGCCGUUGGUGAUGUAGGAUGAUGAAGCUGGGCUCGGGAAAGAGGACGAUGCAGGGCUU
rnacentral:lncRNA from 1 species